GCCAGGCGCAGUGGCGCACGCCUGUAAUCCUAGCAGCUUGGGAGGCUGAGGCAGGAGGAUCGCGAGUUCAAAGCCAGCCUCAGCAACUUAGAGAGACCCUAAGCAACCCGGUGAGACCCUGUCUCUA
rnacentral:sRNA from 1 species